UACGUAGGGUGCGAGCGUUAAUCGGAAUUACUGGGCGUAAAGGGCUCGUAGGCGGCCAACUAAGUCAGACGUGAAAUCCCUCGGCUUAACCGGGGAACUGCGUCUGAUACUGGAUGGCUUGAGUGUGGGAGAGGGAUGCGGAAUUCCAGGUGUAGCGGUGAAAUGCGUAGAUAUCUGGAGGAACACCGGUGGCGAAGGCGGCAUCCUGGACCAUUACUGACGCUGAGGAGCGAAAGCCAGGGGAGCAAACGGG
rnacentral:rRNA from 1 species